ensembl:lincRNA Gm26878 predicted gene, 26878
AAGAGAACGGGUAAAAAGACUUUGAAGAAGGUGGAGAAGAGUUUUGUGUCCAAAGAGACAUGGUGGGAGUCAGAAGAUGGAUAGCUAGAGCCGGGCGGCUUCUGUGUCAUGCAGUGAAGCUGUGUCAGGACCUGGUUCUCGUGGUGACACGGCUUGCCUCCCUCGAAGCUGUUAGCAACUUCAUCUCUUCUGCUGAGAGGAAAGGACAGUGGUGUUGACACCAAGGUCUCCGGAGUGGGGGACACCUUGCACCCACACCUAUGGCUUCAACUUCAUCAGAAGAAGUGCUAAUCCGCUGGCAUUUGCAACUGGUUUCUAACACCUUCCUGUCCCCCUCAGGAGCAGGGUUGUCACUCAGAGCCAUUCCCAGCAACAAGUUCCACCUGUCGCUUUUCCCAUCACUGACAGGAGGUGGGUGAGCUCUCCUCCAAACUGCUGUCUCUCUGGUGUCUGUGCGUGCAUGCGUGUGUGUGUGUGUGUGUGUGUGCAUGUGUGUGUGUGUGUGUGUGAAACUGUAGAGAGAAGCAGAGUCUGAGCCCUCUGUAUUCUAAAGCAAAAAGAGGCCACCUGUCCAGCCCAGAGCAGAAGGAGAGGCCGGAGUUGUUUUUCAGUGUGUCUGUCUGUCCUUCUGUUCCCCUUGUUGCUGAGGGUAGGGAGCUGUUAUGACUCAGGGUGAGCAGAGUGGGCAUCUCACUCGUCCCCCAGCCAACAGGGCUUCCAUGUCACCGUGGGGGGACCAGAGGCCUUGAGCAGGAGCCCAGAGCAUCUGGGUGACCGAGCCACCACCCGGCUGGGGCUUCUGUGUAAACCGCUGAUCACACUGCUUGCUAGCUGAAGAGAUUCAGGCCACAGAACCCUGUGUGGCGUGAGACGCCUGUGAACCCCCAGACUCUGCUAAUUGGGGUGCCCUUCUGUCUCCAGGAUGUCCUGCUUUUUAUCUGAGUUGAAGAGACAAGGAAGGGAGCUGGGCUGCUCUGAGCAGCCCCUGCUGGACAGGCCCUGCGUGUUGGCUCCAGGUUCCCCGCCGCCCAUUUUCUCAGAAAACACUGGAGUCCUGGAGUUCUGGGGUGUGUGGGGAGCCAGGAGCUUCUCUAAAAUCAGUCUGGCAACACCCGAGUGAGCAAAGGUCACCGUCCCUUCACUGAGCAAGACUGCUCCCUCACCCCUAAGAUAUUGAUGGGUUUCUUCCGUGGAACUGAGACGCACGUUGGUUCCCCCAAAUCAAAUUGUUACCAGAAAAUAAGGGAACCUUGUGUUUCUAACAACCAAGACUUAAUGUGGGGUGUCCUUGGAGAUGGGAGAAAUCAAAUCAAGCCCACCAAGUUCUGUCCACUCAUCACGGGGGUGGGGGUGGGGGUGUGACUAGGAAAAACAAAUAGAAGAUAGUGAGUGGAGGGAAUCUUAUUCUCUAAGAAUAAAUGGUAUUGAAAGUGAGAUGCUUUGCACACUAAAUAAAGCAAGGGAGGCAGGUUUUCAAUAUUUAUAGCCUCCACAUGUCUAAAAGCCCAAACCCAAACCAACAUACAUCCCUGAUCAUGGAGCUUCCCCCCUUAUCCAAAUAUAAAAAGUAUUGUAUGUUAUAUUGACUUCAGGGCUAAAUCCUUCCCUUAUAAGGUGUUUGAAAUAAAUGGCUUUUAUUAUGG